UCGCUCUGCACGGAGGGGGCAUGUGAGCAUAUGCCCGCCGAGAGAGGCUCUCAAUGUCAUUAGCUAGCACCCGUAGAGGCUCUCCAGGCUGCCUGCGUCUAUUCCUCAGUUCGGAGCGCAGUAGCCCGGGCUGUACACACUGUCCAUAGCGCCUCCUCAGUGCUCCCACUAGAGCACCAUAAUCAUGCCUGUCCUCGGGGCUAAUCAAUAUCAAACAGGCCAGAGCUUCAUCCGUGAGGCAUAAAGCCAACUGCAGUGCCCUUUCUUCAUCCGACCACCCCCUAAAAUGAGCUAACAGUUCAAACUGAGCAUGAAAAGCUUCCCAAUCCGCCUUACCGGAAUACUUCGGGGUCUUAACAGAUACGGACGCAGCCGGGAACUGGGCGCCGCCAUGUUUGUUUACAUCCUGAGCCCCAGAUUCCUCGUCACGUCGCCACUUCGGUCCGCCCACCAGAAUCCGCGCGAAAUACACUCGACGAAGCACUCAUGUCCGCUUCAGCGGCCAUCACUCUAACGUCCUCCCUCAAGCGGCCUCUGCGCUCCGACGCCCUGGCGAUCUCCUCAGACAGAACCCCCGACGUCCAUUCACACGCACCUCCUUGGCCAUAAUCGUCCCCUACCUCCACCUUCACUUUCGGAUUCCCUCGAAGCAUUUUCAAUCCCCGUUCUCACCUACGGUAGCUAGCCACAUAAGUUAGCUAGCUAGCUGGCUAACUUGUAUCAACGUUUUUACUUCUGACACCAAUGUAAUGACCUGACUAGAUCAUAAAUUAACAAUUGUCCAGACAGAGGCUUGAGUUUGCGAAUUGACGGUUUAUUGAACCAACUUUACACAGGCUACUGUUUGGGCCGUAGCACACGCCAAAUAGAUGACAGAUAACCCACAAGCCAAUCGUGACCUUCUCUUGUGAAGCCCAGACGUAAGAGAGAGAGAACAAAGGCUGAACCUGGUCUUAACUUCCAAUGCCCAACCCCCCUCCACGCCACUCCGCCAACCACCAGGAUGCCCGGCAUCAGAACAUUCCAGGCAUUCCCGUGAUUGGCAGAUAGCAGGUUGAUUGACAUGUCGGACCCCGCGAACACCGGGUACUGAGGAGCAACAUCGUCAGCCAAGUGGCCAAGCUGUUAUAAACACAGUGGUGGUGCGUCUUGGGGGAGGCUCAUGGUCCUGAUGCUGAUUGUUGGCCGCUGGGCAGAUGUGGUCCACAUCAUCCUGUGCUUCCUGGGUGAGGCUAGCUGUCUGAUACCCUCCAGAGACCUAUUGGAUGCUACAACACAGGAUAUAGAGGAAGUUACCAGGUACCACAUUCUCAGAGGAGUAAGAACCAGAGGAGAUGCCUGACACCUGGCAAAGACCACCAGAGUUAGACUAAUUGACAUGGGAAGAAACUGUUUGUGCUGGGACUCUUAGAGCAUCAGUCUUCGAUUAUAUUUUGUAUUAUUAUUGAUUAUCAGUGGUGUAAAGUACUUAAAUAAAAAAUAG